rnacentral:rRNA from 1 species
UACAGAGGGGGCAAGCGUUGUUCGGAAUUACUGGGCGUAAAGGGCGCGUAGGCGGCCUGUUAAGUCGAACGUGAAAUCCCCGGGCUCAACCCGGGAACUGCGUCCGAUACUGGCAGGCUUGAAUUCGGGGGAGGGAUGUGGAAUUCCAGGUGUAGCGGUGAAAUGCGUAGAUAUCGUAAGGAAGACCAGUGGCGAAGGCGGGUCUCUGGACAGUUCCUGACGCUGAGGCACGAAGGCCAGGGGAGCAAACGGG